UUUUAUGAGAGUUUGAUCCUGGCUCAGGAUGAACGCUGGCGGCGUGCCUAACACAUGCAAGUCGAGCGAUUUACUUCGGUAAAGAGCGGCGGACGGGUGAGUAACGCGUGGGUAACCUGCCUCAUACACAUGGAUAACAUACCGAAAGGUAUGCUAAUACAGGAUAAUAUAAGAGAUUCACAUGGAUUUYUUAUCAAAGCUCCGGCGGUAUGAGAUGGACCCGCGUCUGAUUAGCUAGUUGGUAAGGUAAUGGCUUACCAAGGCGACGAUCAGUAGCCGACCUGAGAGGGUGAUCGGCCACAUUGGAACUGAGACACGGUCCAAACUCCUACGGGAGGCAGCAGUGGGGAAUAUUGCACAAUGGGCGAAAGCCUGAUGCAGCAACGCCGCGUGAGUGAUGAAGGCCUUCGGGUCGUAAAACUCUGUCCUCAAGGAAGAUAAUGACGGUACUUGAGGAGGAAGCCCCGGCUAACUACGUGCCAGCAGCCG
rnacentral:rRNA from 1 species